CCCAGCUCCGGUCCCAGCCGUGUCGUGGCGGUCACCGGGCCGUGGGCAGCCCUAAGCCCUUUCUCAUAAGGACAUCUAGUGGCACCGUGACGGACGGCACUCGGUCCCUCAGCCCCUUUCUGCCCAGGGUCCCCCCCAGUCUCUGCCAUUGGCUCUCACUACCGCCCGCGUACUGCUCAACCCAGAUAGGGGCAAUGCUGGAUCCCGCCAGCGGUGCCCCUGGGACAUGGCUGGUCACCGAGAUGGGGACAUCUCCGAGGGAAGGGUGAGCCCAGGGGGAUGUCUGAGCUGUUGUGAAAAGGUACAGAGCUCCAGGACGGAGUGUGGGAGGCUCCCAUCCCUUUGCAGAGAUGUGAGCACAAAAACAAAAAAAAACAAAAAAAAAAAAACAAAAAAAAAAAAACCAAUAAAUACAGAGGUCCUCUGGGGGAAAAAAUGGACAUCCCAGGGAGAAAAGGGCAUGGUGGGACAGUGCUGGGAUGGUGCAGAGCAGAGGCAGCACACGCAGGGACCACAUGGGACACUGAUCGAGGUGCCCCUGUUCAUUGCAGGGGAGAUGGACCAGAGGACCUUUAAAGAUCCCUUCCAACCCAAACGAUUCUGUGAUCCCAUGAGCUCCUGGUGCCACAGGCUCAGCAAGUUAUUAUUCUGUGCAAGCACGAUGCCCUCCCAGGACAACACUACAGGACGGCAUUUGCUUGGAUAAAACAGUUUGCCAACACUUGCUAUUGAGGAAAUUUGUGGUCUGUGCAUUGGGGAAUGACUCAGUGGAGCCAGGAGCUGUCUGAAAGCCCCCACUGAGGAUUUGCUCUGAGUACAGCCUGCGGGGCUGGUGGGUGGGCAAACAAUGUGGCUCAGGAGCUCCUGUUCAAUAAAAUGAAUUUGUCUCCAA
ensembl:lncRNA